AGAGUGGUUCUCUUGUGUAAUGA
rnacentral:siRNA from 1 species